rnacentral:rRNA from 1 species
CAGUAGCCGCGGUAAUACGAAGGGGGCUAGCGUUGUUCGGAAUUACUGGGCGCAAAGCGCACGUAGGCGGUUUCUUAAGUCUGAUGUGAAAGCCCCCGGCUCAACCGGGGAGGGUCAUUGGAAACUGGGAAACCUGAGUGCAAGAGGGGAGAGUGGAAUUCCAUGUGUAGCGGUGAAAUGCGUAGAUAUAUGGAGGAACACCGGUGGCGAAAGCGGCCCUCUGGCUCGUAACUGACGCUGAGGCUCGAAAGCGUGGGGAGCGAACAGGAUUAGAUACCCCAGUAGUCCCUGUCUCUUAUAC